rnacentral:rRNA from 1 species
ACGUAGGGUGCGAGCGUUAAUCGGAAUUACUGGGCGUAAAGCGUGCGCAGGCGGCUUUAUAAGUCAGGUGUGAAAGCCCACGGCUCAACCGUGGCAUUGCAUUUGAGACUGCAUAGCUUGAGUGCGGCAGAGGGGGGUGGAAUUCCACGUGUAGCAGUGAAAUGCGUAGAGAUGUGGAGGAACACCGAUGGCGAAGGCAGCCACCUGGGCCGAUACUGACGCUCAGGCGCGAAAGCGUGGGGAGCAAACAG